rnacentral:rRNA from 1 species
GACGAACGCGGCGGCGUGCCUAAUACAUGCAAGUAGAACGCUGAAGGAGGAGCUUGCUUCUCUGGAUGAGUUGCGAACGGGUGAGUAACGCGUAGGUAACCUGCCUGGUAGCGGGGGAUAACUAUUGGAAACGAUAGCUAAUACCGCAUAAGAGUAGAUGUUGCAUGACAUUUGCUUAAAAGGUGCAAUUGCAUCACUACCAGAUGGACCUGCGUUGUAUUAGCUAGUUGGUGAGGUAACGGCUCACCAAGGCAACGAUACAUAGCCGACCUGAGAGGGUGAUCGGCCACACUGGGACUGAGACACGGCCCAGACUCCUACGGGAGGCAGCAGUAGGGAAUCUUCGGCAAUGGACGGAAGUCUGACCGAGCAACGCCGCGUGAGUGAAGAAGGUUUUCGGAUCGUAAAGCUCUGUUGUAAGAGAAGAACGAGUGUGAGAGUGGAAAGUU